GAUGAACGCUAGCUACAGGCUUAACACAUGCAAGUCGAGGGACCGGCGCACGGGUGAGUAACACGUAUCCAACCUGCCCUUUACUCGGGGAUAGCCUUUCGAAAGAAAGAUUAAUACCCGAUAUAAAGGAUGGGGAUGCGUUCCAUUAGGUUGUUGGUGAGGUAACGGCCCACCAAGCCUUCGAUGGGUAGGGGUUCUGAGAGGAAGGUCCCCCAGAUUGGAACCGAGGCACGGUCCAAACUCGUACGGGGGGCAGCAGUGAGGAAUAUUGGGCAAUGGGCGUUAGCCUGGACCAGCCGAGUAGCGUGAAGGAUGAAGGGUUAUGGGUCGUAAACUUCUUUUAAAUAAGAAUAUGUAUUAUAUGAAUAAGGAUCGGCUAACUCCGUGCCAGCAGCCGCGGUAAUUC
rnacentral:rRNA from 1 species